GAUGAACGCUGGCGGCGUGCCUAAUACAUGCAAGUCGAGCGAACGGACGAGAAGCUUGCUUCUCUGAUGUUAGCGGCGGACGGGUGAGUAACACGUGGAUAACCUACCUAUAAGACUGGGAUAACUUCGGGAAACCGUAGCUAAUACCGGAGAAUAUUUUGAACCGCAUGGUUCAAAAGUGAAAGACGGUCUUGCUGUCACUUAUAGAUGGAUCCGGGCUGCAUUAGCUAGUUGGUAAGGUAACGGCCUACCAAGGGAACGAUGCAUAGCCGACCUGAGGGGGUGAUCGGCCACCCUGGAACGGAGCCACCGUCCAGGCUCCUACGGGAGGCCCCAGUCGGGAAUCUUCCGCAAUGGGCGAAAGCAUGACGGAGCAACGCCGCGUGAGUGAUGAAGGUCUUCGGAUCGUAAAACUCUGUUAUUAGGGAAGAACAUAUGUGUAAGUAACUGUGCACAUCUUGACGGUACCUAAUCAGAAAGCCACGGCUAACUACGUG
rnacentral:rRNA from 1 species